rnacentral:rRNA from 1 species
CCUACGGGAGGCAGCAGUGGGGAAUAUUGCACAAUGGGGGAAACCCUGAUGCAGCGACGCCGCGUGAGCGAUGAAGUAUUUCGGUAUGUAAAGCUCUAUCAGCAGGGAAGAAAAUGACGGUACCUGACUAAGAAGCCCCGGCUAACUACGUGCCAGCAGCCGCGGUAAUACGUAGGGGGCAAGCGUUAUCCGGAUUUACUGGGUGUAAAGGGAGCGUAGACGGCGGUGCAAGCGAGAUGUGAAAGCCCAGGGCUCAACCGGGGGGCUGCAUUGGGAACUGUAUAGCGGGAGUGUCGGAGAGGCAGGCGGAAUUCGUGGGGUAGGGGUGAAAUGCGUAGAUAGUAGGAGGAACACCAGGGGCGAAGGCGGCCUGAUGGAAGAAAACGGACGGUGAGGCGCGAAAGCGUGGGUAGCAAACAGGAUUAGAUACCCGGGUAGUC